GGGGAUGCCAUGAUCGACGGGAUUGUACCUUAAAAACUGCAAGCCGAGGUGAUUGUACUCGCUAAACCAAUCAAAAUAUAACUGUCGAUAAUACCGACGAGCUGGAAGAAUUAGUUGAGUAUGGCGAGAGUCUUCUUGCCAGAGCUCGAGAAGCUUCCGGUGCCCGAAACUUCGCAUUCGCGACAGCCUAAGGCCAUCAACUCUGUCUUUCUUCGGUGGGAUAAGAGCUUGGUGUAAACACAGCCGGAGUGCCCCCUGAUAAUUGACUGAUACCGGGGGAAAGACUAAGUCUUACUCUUACUGUUGAUUGUCUGUUGGGACAACAGCAGGAGGAAAUUCUUACAACAGACUAAGCUUGUAGAUGUUUCUAAGAUGCGUCUUCGGACUCCGGAUCACCUCCGGACAUCUCCACUA
rnacentral:tmRNA from 1 species